UACGUAGGGGGCAAGCGUUGUCCGGAUUUAUUGGGCGUAAAGAGCGUGUAGGCGGCCAAGCAGGUCCGCUGUGAAAACUCGAGGCUCAACCUCGAGACGUCGGUGGAAACCGUUUGGCUAGAGUCCGGAAGAGGAGAGUGGAAGUUCCCGGUGUAGCGGUGAAAUGACGCAGAGUAUCAGGAGGAACACCGAGUGGCGAAGGCAGGUCUCUGGGCCACUACUGACGCUGAGAAGCGAAAGCAUAGGGGAGCGAACAGG
rnacentral:rRNA from 1 species